rnacentral:rRNA from 1 species
UUAAGCRACUAAGCGUACACGGUGGAUGCCCUGGCAGUCAGAGGCGAUGAAGGACGUGCUAAUCUGCGAUAAGCGUCGGUAAGGUGAUAUGAACCGUUAUAACCGGCGAUUUCCGAAUGGGGAAACCCAGUGUGUUUCGACACACUAUCAUUAACUGAAUCCAUAGGUUAAUGAGGCGAACCGGGGGAACUGAAACAUCUAAGUACCCCGAGGAAAAGAAAUCAACCGAGAUUCCCCCAGUAGCGGCGAGCGAACGGGGAGSAGCCCAGAGYCUGAAUCAGUGUGUGUGUUAGUGGAAGCGUCUGGAAAGGCGCGCGAUACAGGGUGACAGCCCCGUACACAAAAAUGCACAUGCUGUGAGCUCGAUGAGUAGGGCGGGACACGUGGUAUCCUGUCUGAAUAUGGGGGGACCAUCCUCCAAGGCUAAAUACUCCUGACUGACCGAUAGUGAACCAGUACCGUGAGGGAAAGGCGAAAAGAACCCCGGCGAGGGGAGUGAAAAAGAACCUGAAACCGUGUACGUACAAGCAGUGGGAGCACGCUUAGGCGUGUGACUGCGUACCUUUUGUAUAAUGGGUCAGCGACUUAUAUUCUGUAGCAAGGUUAACCGAAUAGGGGAGCCGAAGGGAAACCGAGUCUUAACUGGGCGUUAAGUUGCAGGGUAUAGACCCGAAACCCGGUGAUCUAGCCAUGGGCAGGUUGAAGGUUGGGUAACACUAACUGGAGGACCGAACCGACUAAUGUUGAAAAAUUAGCGGAUGACUUGUGGCUGGGGGUGAAAGGCCAAUCAAACCGGGAGAUAGCUGGUUCUCCCCGAAAGCUAUUUAGGUAGCGCCUCGUGAAUUCAUCUCCGGGGGUAGAGCACUGUUUCGGCAAGGGGGUCAUCCCGACUUACCAACCCGAUGCAAACUGCGAAUACCGGAGAAUGUUAUCACGGGAGACACACGGCGGGUGCUAACGUCCGUCGUGAAGAGGGAAACAACCCAGACCGCCAGCUAAGGUCCCAAAGUCAUGGUUAAGUGGGAAACGAUGUGGGAAGGCCCAGACAGCCAGGAUGUUGGCUUAGAAGCAGCCAUCAUUUAAAGAAAGCGUAAUAGCUCACUGGUCGAGUCGGCCUGCGCGGAAGAUGUAACGGGGCUAAACCAUGCACCGAAGCUGCGGCAGCGACACUGUGUGUUGUUGGGUAGGGGAGCGUUCUGUAAGCCUGUGAAGGUGUACUGUGAGGUAUGCUGGAGGUAUCAGAAGUGCGAAUGCUGACAUAAGUAACGAUAAAGCGGGUGAAAAGCCCGCUCGCCGGAAGACCAAGGGUUCCUGUCCAACGUUAAUCGGGGCAGGGUGAGUCGACCCCUAAGGCGAGGCCGAAAGGCGUAGUCGAUGGGAAACAGGUUAAUAUUCCUGUACUUGGUGUUACUGCGAAGGGGGGACGGAGAAGGCUAUGUUGGCCGGGCGACGGUUGUCCCGGUUUAAGCGUGUAGGCUGGUUUUCCAGGCAAAUCCGGAAAAUCAAGGCUGAGGCGUGAUGACGAGGCACUACGGUGCUGAAGCAACAAAUGCCCUGCUUCCAGGAAAAGCCUCUAAGCAUCAGGUAACAUCAAAUCGUACCCCAAACCGACACAGGUGGUCAGGUAGAGAAUACCAAGGCGCUUGAGAGAACUCGGGUGAAGGAACUAGGCAAAAUGGUGCCGUAACUUCGGGAGAAGGCACGCUGAUAUGUAGGUGAAGUCCCUCGCGGAUGGAGCUGAAAUCAGUCGAAGAUACCAGCUGGCUGCAACUGUUUAUUAAAAACACAGCACUGUGCAAACACGAAAGUGGACGUAUACGGUGUGACGCCUGCCCGGUGCCGGAAGGUUAAUUGAUGGGGUUAGCCGCAAGGCGAAGCUCUUGAUCGAAGCCCCGGUAAACGGCGGCCGUAACUAUAACGGUCCUAAGGUAGCGAAAUUCCUUGUCGGGUAAGUUCCGACCUGCACGAAUGGCGUAAUGAUGGCCAGGCUGUCUCCACCCGAGACUCAGUGAAAUUGAACUCGCUGUGAAGAUGCAGUGUACCCGCGGCAAGACGGAAAGACCCCGUGAACCUUUACUAUAGCUUGACACUGAACAUUGAGCCUUGAUGUGUAGGAUAGGUGGGAGGCUUUGAAGUGUGGACGCCAGUCUGCAUGGAGCCGACCUUGAAAUACCACCCUUUAAUGUUUGAUGUUCUAACGUUGACCCGUAAUCCGGGUUGCGGACAGUGUCUGGUGGGUAGUUUGACUGGGGCGGUCUCCUCCUAAAGAGUAACGGAGGAGCACGAAGGUUGGCUAAUCCUGGUCGGACAUCAGGAGGUUAGUGCAAUGGCAUAAGCCAGCUUGACUGCGAGCGUGACGGCGCGAGCAGGUGCGAAAGCAGGUCAUAGUGAUCCGGUGGUUCUGAAUGGAAGGGCCAUCGCUCAACGGAUAAAAGGUACUCCGGGGAUAACAGGCUGAUACCGCCCAAGAGUUCAUAUCGACGGCGGUGUUUGGCACCUCGAUGUCGGCUCAUCACAUCCUGGGGCUGAAGUAGGUCCCAAGGGUAUGGCUGUUCGCCAUUUAAAGUGGUACGCGAGCUGGGUUUAGAACGUCGUGAGACAGUUCGGUCCCUAUCUGCCGUGGGCGCUGGAGAACUGAGGGGGGCUGCUCCUAGUACGAGAGGACCGGAGUGGACGCAUCACUGGUGUUCGGGUUGUCAUGCCAAUGGCACUGCCCGGUAGCUAAAUGCGGAAGAGAUAAGUGCUGAAAGCAUCUAAGCACGAAACUUGCCCCGAGAUGAGUUCUCCCUGACCGU